CUACGGGAGGCUCCAGUGGGGAAUAUUGCACAAUGGAGGAAACUCUGAUGCAGCAACGCCGCGUGGAGGAUGACACUUUUCGGAGCGUAAACUCCUUUUAUAUAGGAAGAAGAUGACGGUACUAUAUGAGUAAGCGCCGGCUAACUCCGUGCCAGCAGCCGCGGUAAUACGGAGGGCGCAAGCGUUACUCGGAAUCACUGGGCGUAAAGAGCGUGUAGGCGGAUUAAAAAGUCAGAAGUGAAAUCCUAUAGCUUAACUAUAGAACUGCUUCUGAAACUCUUAAUCUAGAAUAUGGGAGAGGUAGAUGGAAUUUCUGGUGUAGGGGUAAAAUCCGUAGAGAUCAGAAGGAAUACCGAUUGCGAAGGCGAUCUACUAGAACAUUAUUGACGCUGAGACGCGAAAGCGUGGGGGGCAAACAGGAUUAGAUACCCCCGUACUC
rnacentral:rRNA from 1 species